rnacentral:rRNA from 1 species
GACGAACGCUAGCGGCGUGCUUAACACAUGCAAGUCGAACGAUGAACUUGGAGCUUGCUCUGGGGGAUUAGUGGCGAACGGGUGAGUAACACGUGAGUAACCUGCCCUGGACUCUGGGAUAACUUCGAGAAAUCGGAGCUAAUACCGGAUAGGACCUCGCACCGCAUGGUGUGGGGUGGAAAGUUUUUCGGUUUGGGAUGGACUCGCGGCCUAUCAGCUUGUUGGUGAGGUAAUGGCUCACCAAGGCGUCGACGGGUAGCCGGCCUGAGAGGGUGACCGGCCACACUGGGACUGGGACACGGCGCAGACUCCUACGGGAGGCAGCAGUGGGGAAUAUUGCACAAUGGGCGCAAGCCUGAUGCAGCAACGCCGCGUGCGGGAUGACGGCCUUCGGGUUGUAAACCGCUUUUAGUAAGGAAGAAGGGGAGCUUGCUCCUUGACGGUACUUGCAGAAAAAGGACCGGCUAACUACGUGCCAGCCGCCGCCGUAACAC